ensembl:lincRNA
UGUUCGGUGAUAUUUAUAGAUCUCACCUUUUUUCAUGGUAGAGUAACAGUCACUGUUCCUUUGUAGAGGCUCCAUCAGCCUGGGUUCCUGAGUAACCGUAACACAGAACUGACUUGAGAUGGACACACAGCCUGAGUAAGAAAUCAGACUUGGAGGUUCCUGAAUUACUACAGAAUAACCCAAGGGUGAAGUGGGGGAAACAGGAUCUGACUUCGUCACCCAGGCUGGAGUGCAGUGGUGCAAUCUUGGCUCACUGCAGCCUCCGUCUCCCAGGCUCAAGUGAUCUUCCCACCUCAGCCUCCUGAGUAGCUGGUACUACAGGUGAGUACCACUGCAUCCAACUAAUUUUUGUAUUU